CGCGUAGGUGGUAGUGUGAGUCUGGGGUGGAAUCCCAGGGCUCAACCCUGGAACUGCCUUGGAAACUGCAUUACUUGAGUCAGUGAGGGGAGGGUAGAAUUCCUGGUGUAGCGGUGAAAUGCGUAGAUAUCAGGAGGAAGGCCUGUGGCGAAGGCGGCCCUCUGGCGCUGGACUGACACUGAGGCGCGAAAGCGUGGGGAGCAAACAGGAUUAGAUACCCUGGUAGUCCACGCCCUAAACGGUGGGCACUAGGUGUAGGGCUCGUAAGGGUUCUGUGCCGAAGGGAAACCAUUAAGUGCCCCGCCUGGGGAGUACGGCCGCAAGGUUGAA
rnacentral:rRNA from 1 species